rnacentral:rRNA from 1 species
UACGGAGGUGGCAAGCGUUGCUCGGAAUCACUGGGCGUAAAGGGCGCGUAGGCGGGGAGGUAAGUCGGGUGUGAAAUCUCGGGGCUUAACUCCGAAACUGCAUUCGAUACUGCCGUGCUUGAGGACUGGAGAGGAGACUGGAAUUUACGGUGUAGCGGUGAAAUGCGUAGAUAUCGUAAGGAAGACCAGUGGCGAAGGCGGGUCUCUGGACAGUUCCUGACGCUGAGGCACGAAGGCCAGGGGAGCAAACGGG